rnacentral:tRNA from 1 species
GGAUAUGUGAGUAUAUGGUUUUACUGAUUGAUUGCAGAUCUUUUCUUCUGAGGUUCGAUUCCUCCAUAUCUC